ensembl:snRNA U1 U1 spliceosomal RNA
AUCUCAAGAUCAGGAGAGAUUCCAUGAUCAGGAAGGUGGUUUUCCCAGGGUAAGGCUCAUCUAUUGCCUUCUGAGUGUGUUGACCCUGUGAUUUCCUCAAAUUCAAGAAAAUCAACUCCAUAAUUUGUGGUAAUGGGGGGCUGCAUUCGAGCUCUCCCCUU